UCAAGUAAUUAAGUGCAUGUGGUGGAUGCCUUGGCAGUCAGAGGCGAUGAAAGACGUGAUAGCCUGCGAAAAGCUCCGGGGAGGCGGCAAAUAUCCUUUGAUCCGGAGAUGUCUGAAUGGGGGAACCCACCUACUUUAAGGUAGGUAUUGCAACAUGAAUACAUAGUGUUGCAAGGCGAACGAGGGGAAGUGAAACAUCUCAGUACCCUUAGGAAAAGAAAUCAAUUGAGAUUCCCUCAGUAGCGGCGAGCGAACGGGGAUCAGCCCAUUAAGUUAUGUGUGUUUUAGUGGAACGCUCUGGGAAGUGCGAACGUAGAGGGUGAUAUUCCCGUACACGAAAGGGCACACAUAAUGAUGACGAGUAGGGCGAGGCACGUGAAACCUUGUCUGAAUAUGGGGGGACCAUCCUCCAAGGCUAAAUACUCCUGACUGACCGAUAGUGAACCAGUACCGUGAGGGAAAGGCGAAAAGAACCCCUGUGAGGGGAGUGAAAUAGAUCCUGAAACCGCAUGCAUACAAGCAGUGGGAGCACCUUCGUGGUGUGACUGCGUACCUUUUGUAUAAUGGGUCAGCGACUUAUAUUCAGUAGCGAGGUUAACCGUAUAGGGGAGCCGUAGAGAAAUCGAGUCUUAAUAGGGCGUUUAGUUGCUGGGUAUAGACCCGAAACCAGGCGAUCUAUCCAUGAGCAGGUUGAAGGUUGGGUAACACUAACUGGAGGACCGAACCCACUGUCGUUGAAAAGCCAGGGGAUGACUUGUGGAUAGGGGUGAAAGGCUAAUCAAGCCUGGUGAUAGCUGGUUCUCCCCGAAAGCUAUUUAGGUAGCGCCUCGGACGAAUACCAUAGGGGGUAGAGCACUGUUUCGGCUAGGGGGUCAUCCCGACUUACCAAACCGAUGCAAACUCCGAAUACCUAUGAGUACUAUCCGGGAGACAGACUGCGGGUGCUAACGUCCGUAGUCAAGAGGAAAACAAUCCAGACCGCCAGCUAAGGCCCCAAAAUCAUAGUUAAGUGGGAAACGAUGUGGGAAGGCAUAGACAGCUAGGAGGUUGGCUUAGAAGCAGCCACCCUUUAAAGAAAGCGUAAUAGCUCACUAGUCGAGUCGGCCUGCGCGGAAGAUGUAACGGGGCUAAAACUAUGUGCCGAAGCUGCGGAUGUAUACUUUGUAUACGUGGUAGGGGAGCGUUCUGUAAGCCGAUGAAGGUGUGUUGAGAAGCAUGCUGGAGGUAUCAGAAGUGCGAAUGCUGACGUGAGUAACGACAAAACGGGUGAAAAACCCGUUCGCCGAAAGACCAAGGGUUCCAGUCCAACGUUAAUCGGGGCUGGGUGAGUCGACCCCUAAGGCGAGGCCGAAAGGCGUAGUCGAUGGGAAAAUGGUUAAUAUUCCAUUACUUCUGUGUAAUGCGAUGAGAGGACGGAGAAGGCUAAAUCAGCCUGGCGUUGGUUGUCCAGGUGAAAGGAUGUAGGCAUGUAUCUUAGGCAAAUCCGGGGUACUCUAUGCUGAGAUCUGAUAGCAAGCUGUACUUGUACAGCGAAGUGGUUGAUGCCAUGCUUCCAGGAAAAGUCUCUAAGCUUCAGUUACACAGGAAUCGUACCCGAAACCGACACAGGUGGUCAGGUCGAGUAGACCAAGGCGCUUGAGAGAACUCUGCUGAAGGAACUAGGCAAAAUGGUACCGUAACUUCGGGAGAAGGUACGCUGUUGUUGGUGAUGGAACUCGCUUCCUGAGCUGACGACAGCCGCAGAAACCAGGCCGCUGCAACUGUUUAUUAAAAACAUAGCACUCUGCAAACACGAAAGUGGACGUAUAGGGUGUGAUGCCUGCCCGGUGCUGGAAGGUUAAUUGAUGGGGUUAGCGUAAGCGAAGCUCUUGAUCGAAGCCCCAGUAAACGGCGGCCGUAACUAUAACGGUCCUAAGGUAGCGAAAUUCCUUGUCGGGUAAGUUCCGACCUGCACGAAUGGCAUAAUGAUGGCGGCGCUGUCUCCAGCAGAGGCUCAGUGAAAUCGAAAUCGCUGUGAAGAUGCAGUGUACCCGCGGCUAGACGGAAAGACCCCGUGAACCUUUACUGCAGCUUGACACUGAACUUUGACCUUACUUGUGUAGGAUAGGUGGGAGGCUUUGAAGCUGGAACGCUAGUUCCAGUGGAGCCGUCCUUGAAAUACCACCCUGGUAAUGUUGAGGUUCUAACUCUGUCCCGUGAUCCGGGACGAGGACCGUGUCUGGUGGGUAGUUUGACUGGGGCGGUCUCCUCCUAAAGAGUAACGGAGGAGUACGAAGGUGCGCUCAGCGUGGUCGGAAAUCACGCGUAGAGUAUAAAGGCAAAAGCGCGCUUAACUGCGAGACCCACAAGUCGAGCAGGUACGAAAGUAGGUCUUAGUGAUCCGGUGGUUCUGUAUGGAAGGGCCAUCGCUCAACGGAUAAAAGGUACUCUGGGGAUAACAGGCUGAUACCGCCCAAGAGUUCAUAUCGACGGCGGUGUUUGGCACCUCGAUGUCGGCUCAUCUCAUCCUGGGGCUGAAGCAGGUCCCAAGGGUAUGGCUGUUCGCCAUUUAAAGAGGUACGCGAGCUGGGUUUAGAACGUCGUGAGACAGUUCGGUCCCUAUCUACCGUGGGCGCUGGAAAUUUGAGAGGAUCUGCUCCUAGUACGAGAGGACCAGAGUGGACGAACCUCUGGUGUACCGGUUGUGACGCCAGUCGCAUCGCCGGGUAGCUAUGUUCGGAAGGGAUAACCGCUGAUAGCAUCUAAGCGGGAAGCCUACCUCAAGAUAAGAUUUCCCUAGGACUUUAUGUCCUCUAAAGAGCCGUUCGAGACUAGGACGUUGAUAGGUUGGAUGUGGAAGCAUAGUGAUAUGUGAAGCUGACCAAUACUAAUUGCUCGUGAGGCUUGACUAU
rnacentral:rRNA from 1 species